AGGGGGAGAACGAUCUUGGUCGAGGGUGGCGGUGGAGCGGGGCCCCGGCUGCUCCGCUACCCGGUCCGCUCCCCGCGCCGCUCCCGGCCCGACGGCGACUCCUGGCUCCUGCCCUGUCCGGGGAUUCAAAGUUCUCCAUCACAGAGGGCUUCCGUCAAAUUAUCUUCCACAGUUGCGAGGAAAAUUAGAGCCCCCGUUUCCGCAGGAGUUUUCGUGAAUUCUCAUUAUAAAAAGAAGAACAAAAAGAAGAAAACCCAAACCCCAGCCAAAUGGCAGCUCUAAGUGGCAGGACUGUGAAGCGGAGCGGGAGUCCCUAGCCCCGCAGCCGCAGCAGUAAUUCUAGCUUUGUUCCUGGGUUUUUACUCGCAAAUAUCACACCAAAUUGCUUCUUGCUGAGUGUGUGUACGCCGGGUAAAUGUUAUCCCCGCUCCUGCCCUGAGAA